GCCCAGCCGUAAACUUUUAUCUACAUCUCAAUCGCCAGGGAACUACGAGCUAAGCUUAAAACCCAAAGGACUUGACGGUACCCCAUAUCCCCCUAGAGGAGCCUGUCCUAUAAUCGAUAAUCCACGUUUAACCUCACCAUUUUUAGUUAGUCAGCCUGUAUACCUCCGUCGUCAGCUUACCACGUGAGCGAGAAUUAGUGAGCUCAAUGUUUUUUCACCAACACGUCAGGUCAAGGUGCAGCAAAUGAAAUGGGAAGAGAUGGGCUACACUUUCUACUAUAGAAAAAACGAAAAACUACUUAUGAAACCUAGUUAGAAGGCGGAUUUAGCAGUAAAAAGGAAUCAGCACGUCCAUUUUAACUCGGCACUGGGGUG
rnacentral:rRNA from 1 species